AUUGAACGCUGGCGGCGUGCCUAACACAUGCAAGUCGAACGGCAGCACGGCUGUAGCAAUACAGUGGGUGGCAAGUGGCGAACGGGUGAGUAACGCGUAGGAAUCUGCCUUAAAGUGGGGGACAACUCGGGGAAACUCGAGCUAAUACCGCAUAAUAUCUACGGAUUAAAGCUGGGGAUCGCAAGACCUAGCGCUUUAAGAGGAGCCUGCGUUGGAUUAGCUAGUUGGUGGGGUAAAGGCCUUCCAAGGCGACGAUCCAUAGCUGGUCUGAGAGGAUGAUCAGCCACACUGGAACUGAGACACGGUCCAGACUCCUACGGGAGGCAGCAGUGGGGAAUAUUGGACAAUGGGGGAAACCCUGAUCCAGCAACGCCGCGUGUGUGAAGAAGGCCUUCGGGUUGUAAAGCACUUUCGGUUAGGACAAAGAAUAUUUGGGGAAUAUCCAGAUAUUUUGAUGUUAUCAACAAAAGAAGCACCGGCAAACUCUGUGCCAGCAGCCGCGGUAA
rnacentral:rRNA from 1 species